GUGCCACAAACUAACAAGAACAUCAGCAAUAUGGUUGCAUCCAGAGGGGAGUAACCAGGAGUCCACAUUUGUUCAACAAAUAUGAGCAACACUCGGGUUACCAUAUUAGUGCUGCUGGGCUUAUAAAGGCAAUUGACUUCCUGAUGAUCUUUGCAUUUUCAUCAGAGCAGCAGACUCUGGCCGACAUCCCUUCCUAUCGACCAGAUGUACUUCAUGAUUAUGGUGAAAAGGGAUCGAACUUGGGUCCUUGUGCUUGCGCAGCAGGCGGCGAAACCACUGAGCUAAAUCCCCGGCCCAAAUCUUACUUCUAUAGCUUACUGAGAGGUUUUCUCUACAAACCAAAAUCUCUUGCCAUGAAACACAACUGGCUGAGAGAGUGCGGUGCAGUGACAUUGAGUGCGGCUGACAUUAGAGCAUCGCUCUGGACCACCGUUGAUGAGGCUCUCAAGUGGCAGCGAGUGCUGACAUUCAAGCUUGCCAGUCGUCUGGAACACUGA
rnacentral:lncRNA from 1 species